UUUCACCCUGAUGGCCUCAGUGUCACCCUGAUAUCCCCAAGGUCACCCUGAUGCCUUCAGUUUUAUCUU
rnacentral:miRNA from 12 species